CCUACGGGAGGCUGCAGUGAGGAAUAUUGGUCAAUGGGCGCGAGCCUGAACCAGCCAAGUCGCGUGAGGGAUGAAGGUUCUAUGGAUCGUAAACCUCUUUUAUAAGGGAAUAAAGUGUGGGACGUGUCCUAUUUUGUAUGUACCUUAUGAAUAAGGAUCGGCUAACUCCGUGCCAGCAGCCGCGGUAAUACGGAGGAUCCGAGCGUUAUCCGGAUUUAUUGGGUUUAAAGGGUGCGUAGGCGGCAUUUUAAGUCAGGGGUGAAAGUACGGGGCUCAACCCUAGAACUGCCGUGGAAACUGGGAAGCUUGAGUACAGGAGAGGCAGGCGGAAUGCGUGGUGUAGCGGUGAAAUGCGUAGAUAUCAGGAGGAACACCGGUGGCGAAGGCAGCUUACUGAACUGUAACUGACGUUGAGGCACGAAAGCGUGGGGAUCAAACAGGAUUAGAUACCCUUGUAGUC
rnacentral:rRNA from 1 species